rnacentral:lncRNA from 1 species
AGGGAGACUAAGAAACCAGGAGGCCUCCAUCUCCUUGCUUCUUCUUCACGUACGGCGGGGCAGAAGAAGACGAGCAAGAGUGCGAAAAUCGCAGCGAUGAAGAACAAGUUGAGAGCCUUGGAGGAAGAGACCACUGGUAGUAGUGUCGUCAAGAGACAGAAAACUGGCUGAAAUAAUCUCCUAUUUUUGAGUUUGGUUUGGUCUUGAAGUUGGUUUAGUUCAAACA